AUGGACAUCUUGCAAAUGUUGUUCUCUCUGUUGGUGCUUAGGUCACUAGGAAAGCCAACAGCACUGGCAUCCAGAGUGGUAACAGGCCAGCACAGCCCUGAGGGGAACUGGGCGCAACCAUCCCAUGCCGGCACGCUCGAUGGCUGCCCCACGAGCUGCGGUAGCGUGAGCUUCAGCUACCCCUUCGGCAUCGGAUCCAGGUGUUCCCGGGGUCCUCACGUCAACCUCACUUGCAACGACACCUCUCAGCCCCCAAGACACUUCCUGCAUGAUGGCUUCACCCAGGUGAUCGGCUUUGAUGAUCUUAACUACAUCAAGGCCUCCAUCCUGCAUACCUUCCACAUGAAAUCUGGUGUCAGUGUCUACAACCUCUCUGUGAAACCACCUGAGGGGUCCUAUCUCGAGUCCUUUGUUCUAAACAUAACCAGCUGUGACCUUGAGGUAUACUCUGUGGUAGACAAUUUCACCACAUUGAUAUGCCGCACUGUGUGUCUUGAUACAAGAACCCCAGAGAAGGUGGCUAUGCACAAUUGUAAAAAUACAUUUGGAUGUUGUCGUGUUAAUGGCUAUGAUAACGUCGGUUUUCAGUUCAAAUUUGUCUACAACCAUGGCAAAAGCAACAUUGAUCCACGCUCCUACCAGACCCCUCAAUUGUGGGAUAGAAUAAGCAUAACUACUGAUGGGCCUGGUGGCUUUCUGCUAUCGUGGCAGAUAGUUGAUCAAUCCACCUGUGUUGCUGCCAAGCAAAACAAGACAAGCUAUGCCUGCAUCAGCGAGCAUGCUGAGUGCAGCGACAGUACAACCAAUUACUGUGACAUCAAAGAUGCGGAGUGCAUCCACAGAAGACUUGGCUACAGCUGCAUCUGCAGCACUGGCUAUUCAGACAACCCCUACAUUCUACAUGGCUGCUUGAAAGAUGAAGCUGAGCAGGGCUAAUUGCACCCGUAUGUGUGGUAACACUAGUGUGCCAUUCCCAUUUGGCUUAGAAGAGGGUUGCUUUGCACACAAACAGUUCCACCUCGAAUGCACAAAUAUGACGUCGUCAGCUGACCUCAUGUUGCGGAAUGAUAAGGUCAGGGACAUAAAUAUUCAUGAAGGGACCAUUAACAUCACCAAUCAGCUACAACGGGACCGUUACACUGCAGAUGGACUUUUUACAUAUUUACGGUCACGAUUCUCCUCUUUGCUGUGGGUUGCUGCUAAUCUAAGUUGUGCAGAGGCCCAAAAGAAUAGGUCUAGAUAUGCUUGUGUCAGUAUUGACAGCACAUGUGUAGAAGUAAGCACUGAAUGGUUCUCUGCUGGUUACCGCUGCAAAUGCUCGCAGGGCUUCCAAGGAAAUCCAUACAUCCAAGGUGGUUGUCAAGGAUAUUAAUGAAUGCCUUCAACCAAACAAAUGUAGAGAGAUUUGCCAUAAUACAAAAGGAAGCUUCAGUUGUGGCAGGACAAAACAGCCUCUAUAUUAUAAAUAUUGUGAAGCUCUUUGGAUGUUGUCUUGAAACUGAGGUUCCACUGCUGGUGUAUGAUUAUGUAUCCUGUGGCUCACUGUCUGAAGUUCUUCAUGCAGAUGCAAGUAAUGAUCUCUGUUUGUCUUGGGGUGAUUACUUAAGGAUUGUCCUCGAAACAGCAGGAGCUCUGUCUUAUCUCCACUCUUCAGCUUCCAUCUCUAUCUUCCAUCGUGAUGUAAAAUCCUCAAAUAUACUCUUGGAUGUGAACUACACAGCAAAAGUGUCAGAUUUUGGCGCAUCCAGAUUGGUUCCGAUCGAUCAAACGCACAUUGUCACGAAUGUGCAGGGUACAUUUGGGUACUUAGAUCCAGAGUAUUUCCAUACCAGGCAGCUGAACGGGAAGAGCGACGUGUACAGUUUUGGUGUGGUACUAGUGGAGUUGCUUCUGAGAAUGAAGCCUGUUUUCACAAGUGAAUCAGGCACAGUCAAGAGCUUGUCAAACUAUUUUCUGCAGGAGUUCAACGAGGGGAGAAUCACAGGUAUUGUUAAUUCUCAGGUCCUUGAGGAGGCAACUGAGGAAGAGAUCAACAAUGUCGCCUCUUUGGCAGAGCGAUGCUUGAGGCUCCACGGCGAAGAAAGACCAACCAUGAAACAGGUGGAGACGGAACUGCAGACUCUAUGGACAAAACGGAUGAACUCGUCUCAGCCUGAUCCGAGAAAUGGAGAACAGAUGCGACCAAGGUCGUUAACUCGAAGGAGUAGAUCUUCUCGGCAAUCGUCCGUAUGGCCAGGAGGUAGCCAACGACGUUAUAGCAUGGAGGCAGAGUUCUUGUCAUCUGCUAGCCUACCACGUUAG
rnacentral:rRNA from 1 species